rnacentral:rRNA from 1 species
CCUACGGGUGGCAGCAGUGAGGAAUAUUGGUCAAUGCACGAGAGUCUGAACCAGCCAAGUAGCGUGAAGGAUGACUGCCCUAUGGGUUGUAAACUUCUUUUAUAUGGGAAUAAAACGUUCCACGUGUGGGAUUUUGUAUGUACCAUAUGAAUAAGGAUCGGCUAACUCCGUGCCAGCAGCCGCGGUAAUACGGAGGAUCCGAGCGUUAUCCGGAUUUAUUGGGUUUAAAGGGAGCGUAGGUGGAUUGUUAAGUCAGUUGUGAAAGUUUGCGGCUCAACCGUAAAAUUGCAGUUGAAACUGGCAGUCUUGAGUACAGUAGAGGUGGGCGGAAUUCGUGGUGUAGCGGUGAAAUGCUUAGAUAUCACGAAGAACUCCGAUUGCGAAGGCAGUUCACUGGACUGCAACUGACACUGAGGCUCGAAAGUGUGGGUAUCAAACAGGAUUAGAUACCCCUGUAGUC